GAUGAAGAACGCAGCGAAAUGCGAUAAGUAAUGUGAAUUGCAGAAUUCAGUGAAUCAUCGAAUCUUUGAACGCACAUUGCGCCCGCCAGCAUUCUGGCGGGCAUGCCUGUUCGAGCGUCAUUUCAACCCUCGAGCCCCCCCGGGGGCCUCGGUGUUGGGGGACGGCACACCAGCCGCCCCCGAAAUGCAGUGGCGACCUCGCCGCAGCCUCCCCUGCGUAGUAGCACACACCUCGCACCGGAGCGCAGAGACGGUCACGCCGUAAAACGCCCAACUUCUUAGAGUUGACCUCGGAUCAGGUAGGAAUACCCGCUGAACUUAAGCAUAUCAAUAAGCGGAGGA
rnacentral:misc_RNA from 1 species